rnacentral:ncRNA from 1 species
AUGAUAUUACGAUUCUCGUAUAAUAUCGGGGAUAUGGCCCGAAAGUCUCUACCCAAAGACCGUAAAUUUUUGGACUACGAGGAAGAU